AGCAGCCGCGGUAAAUUCCAGCUCCAAUAGCGUAUAUUAAAGUUGUUGCAGUUAAAAAGCUCGUAGUUGAACUUCGGGAUCAAUGGAUUGGUCAUGCCGAUGGUGUGUACUGGUCAUAUUGGUUCUCACCUUCUAAGGAACCAUAAUGUCAUUUAUUUGAUGUUGUGGGGAAUUAGGACUGUUACCUUGAAAAAAUUAGAGUGUUUAAAGCAGGCUAACGCUUGAAUACAUUAGCAUGGAAUAAUGAAAUAGGACAUCGCAUUCUAUUUUGUUGGUUUCUAGGAUCGAUGUAAUGAUUAAUAGGGAUAGUUGGGGGCAUUAGUAUUCAAUUGUCAGAGGUGAAAUUCUUGGAUUUAUUGAAGACUAACUACUGCGAAAGCAUUUGCCAAGGAUGUUUUCA
rnacentral:rRNA from 1 species